UACGGGGGGAGCAAGCGUUGUUCGGAUUUACUGGGCGUAAAGGGCGCGUAGGCGGCGAACCAAGUCAGAUGUGAAAGUCCUGGGCUUAACCUGGGGACUGCAUUUGAUACUGGUUUGCUUGAAUUCGGGAGAGGAUAGCGGAAUUCCCAGUGUAGAGGUGAAAUUCGUAGAUAUUGGGAAGAACACCGGUGGCGAAGGCGGCUAUCUGGACCGACAUUGACGCUGAGGCGCGAAAGCGUGGGGAGCAAACAGG
rnacentral:rRNA from 1 species